CAGAGAAGGGACAAAAAGGAGAGACAGAAAUGGAGAGAUCUCGGUGGCUGUAAAGGCCUUUCCACGCAAGCAGAGGAGGAAAGAUAGGAAACUGAUCGAGGAGGGGGAGUCCCCCCUGCAGCAACCCGGGGAGAGAGCAGAUGGGGGACCUCCAAAAAGGCCCCAGCCUGAGGAAAGGAAAUCCUCUCCGCUCGGGGCACCGGUCGGCCUUCCCAUCCGAUCUCCCUAAGAAAGUCCUCCGUAUCCCGGAACCUCAUCCUGAAGGAGCCCAAAGGCCACCGAGGUCAGCAGGGUGUCAGACGCUGCCCCUACCCCCACGCCCCACCUUCCACCUCGGCACUUUUCAAAGAGUAUUAGAAAUGGGCAAACUAUGACCUUCCAGCCACGGGCUAAGGAAAUUCCGGCCUCCGAUUUCUCCCCCUCUCGGCCCCAAGUCAAGGACGCACCAGGGUACUCUUCCUUCCCAGUCCCAGAAAAUUAGGUCUCGAGCCUCGCUCCAGCUUUGGAAAAGCAAAGUUCUGCCUGACUGAGAUCGACGACUGGGGGUGGGGUGGGUGGGGAAACUGAGCAGAAACGUUCAGAGAAAUUGUCCUGGCCGCUUCCGGAAAAGGCCGGCCCGGAGACUUACUCUUUAUUCGCCUUUUCCAAGAAAGUCUUUCAAGAAUUCUCUGAUUUUUUCGACUCGGAUUCCCAUUCCCCUUUGUCUCUCUCCGUCUUGCUUUCUUUUUCUUCUUUCUUUUCCUUUCAUUUUUCUCUCUUUUUUCACCUUUC